rnacentral:rRNA from 1 species
GAUGAACGCUAGCUACAGGCUUAACACAUGCAAGUCGAGGGGAAACGAUAGAGAAAGCUUGCUUUUUCUAGGCGUCGACCGGCGCACGGGUGAGUAACGCGUAUCCAACCUGCCCAUCACUUGGGGGAUAACCCUUGCGAAGGUAAGACUAAUACCCGAUGAUAUCUCUAGAAGACAUCUGAAAGGGNUUAAAGAUUUAUCGGUGAUGGAUGGGGAUGCGUCUGAUUAGCUUGUUGGCGGGGUAACGGCCCACCAAGGGCAACGAUCAGUAGGGGUUCUGAGAGGAAGGUCCCCCACAUUGGAACUGAGACACGGUCCAAACUCCUACGGGAGGCAGCAGUGAGGAAUAUUGGUCAAUGGGCGAGAGCCUGAACCAGCCAAGUGC